rnacentral:rRNA from 1 species
AACGAACGCUGGCGGCAUGCCUAACACAUGCAAGUCGAACGAGAUCUUCGGAUCUAGUGGCGCACGGGUGCGUAACGCGUGGGAAUCUGCCCUUGGGUUCGGAAUAACAGUGAGAAAUUACUGCUAAUACCGGAUGAUGUCUUCGGACCAAAGAUUUAUUGCCCAAGGAUGAGCCCGCGUAGGAUUAGCUAGUUGGUGGGGUAAUGGCCUACCAAGGCGACGAUCCUUAGCUGGUCUGAGAGGAUGAUCAGCCACACUGGGACUGAGACACGGCCCAGACUCCUACGGGAGGCAGCAGUGGGGAAUAUUGGACAAUGGGCGAAAGCCUGAUCCAGCAAUGCCGCGUGAGUGAUGAAGGCCUUAGGGUUGUAAAGCUCUUUUACCAGGGAUGAUAAUGACAGUACCUGGAGAAUAAGCUCCGGCUAACUCCGUGCCAGCCGCCGCAGUAAGAC